AUGACCUUCAAAAAAAAACUCGCAAGCAUCACUAGUCCAAAAUCUUGUUGCGUGUAUAUGACUAGUCCAAAUGUCAUCACGCGUGUUAAAAAUGCCACAUUGGCCACUGACUUGGCAUGGUGGAGGGUUUCACUGGGAUUUCAUGUGCGUGAUAUGCACGUGAGUAAGGUGGAAGAGCAACUGAGGGGCAAAAUCAUUUUCAUAGCCCCCAGCCUUUCUCGUUUUCCAAUACGCAACCCAUUUCUCCCGACUACAAGGUUGUCCAACGGAAGGAGGGCGGUGAAUAGGUAUCGACUCGGAGUUAACCAGCGUGACGAGUGA
rnacentral:rRNA from 1 species